rnacentral:rRNA from 1 species
UACGUAGGGGGCAAGCGUUGUCCGGAAUCAUUGGGCGUAAAGCGCGUGUAGGCGGCUCGAUAAGUCCGCUGUGAAAGUCCAGGGCUCAACCCUGGAAUGCCGGUGGAUACUGUCGGGCUCGAGUCCGGAAGAGGCGAGUGGAAUUCCUGGUGUAGCGGUGAAAUGCGCAGAUAUCAGGAGGAACACCGAUGGCGAAGGCAGCUCGCUGGGACGGUACUGACGCUGAGACGCGAAAGCGUGGGGAGCAAACAGG